rnacentral:rRNA from 1 species
AGCAGCCGCGGUAAUUCCAGCUCCAAUAGCGUAUAUUAAAGUUGUUGCAGUUAAAAAGCUCGUAGUUGAAUUUCGGGAUCAAUAUAUCGGUCGUGCCUCCGGUAUGCACUGGUAUUAUUGAUUUCUACCUUCUGACGAAUCAUGAUGUCAUUAAUUUGGUGUCAUGGGGAAUCAGGACUGUUACUUUGAAAAAUUAGAGUGUUUAAAGCAGGCACACGCUUGAAUACAUUAGCAUGGAAUAAUGAAAUAGGACGUUUGACCCUAUUUUGUUGGUUUCUAGGAUCGACGUAAUGAUUAAUAGGGAUAGUUGGGGGCAUUAGUAUUCAAUUGUCAGAGGUGAAAUUCUUGGAUUUAUUGAAGACUAACUACUGCGAAAGCAUUUGCCAAGGAUGUUUUCAUUAAUCAAGAACGAAAGUUAGGGGAUCGAAGACGAUCAGAUACCGUCGUAGUCUUAACCAUAAACUAUGCCGACUAGGGAUCGGAUGAUGUUAAUUUUUAAUGACUCU